rnacentral:tRNA from 1 species
GCCGAAGUGGUGGAAUUGGUAGACACGCUAUCUUGAGGGGGUAGUGUCCUUACGGACGUGCGGGUUCAAGUCCCGCCUUCGGCA